rnacentral:rRNA from 1 species
UACGUAGGGGGCAAGCGUUGUCCGAAUUUAUUGGGCGUAAAGAGCGUGUAGGCGGCCAUACAGGUCAGCUGUGAAAACUCGAGGCUCAACCUCGAGACGUCGGUUGAAACCGUAUGGCUAGAGUCCGGAAGAGGAGAGUGGAAUUCCCGGUGUAGCGGUGAAAUGCGCAGAUAUCGGGAAGAACACCCAUGGCGAAGGCAGCUCUCUGGGACGGUACUGACGCUGAGACGCGAAAGCGUGGGGAGCGAACAGG